UACGAAGGGGGCUAGCGUUGCUCGGAAUCACUGGGCGUAAAGCGCACGUAGGCGGAUCUUUAAGUCGGGGGUGAAAUCCUGGAGCUCAACUCCAGAACUGCCUUCGAUACUGGGGAUCUCGAGUCCGGGAGAGGUGAGUGGAACUGCGAGUGUAGAGGUGAAAUUCGUAGAUAUUCGCAAGAACACCAGUGGCGAAGGCGGCUCACUGGCCCGGUACUGACGCUGAGGUGCGAAAGCGUGGGGAGCAAACAGG
rnacentral:rRNA from 1 species